rnacentral:rRNA from 1 species
CCUACGGGCGGCUGCAGUGGGGAAUAUUGGACAAUGGGGGGAACCCUGAUCCAGCCAUGCCGCGUGUGUGAAGAAGGCCCUCGGGUUGUAAAGCACUUUCAGUGAGGAAGAACGCCUGGUGGUUAAUACCCAUCAGGAAAGACAUCACUCACAGAAGAAGCACCGGCUAACUCCGUGCCAGCAGCCGCGGUAAUACGGAGGGUGCGAGCGUUAAUCGGAAUUACUGGGCGUAAAGCGCGCGUAGGUGGCUUGAUAAGCCGGUUGUGAAAGCCCCGGGCUCAACCUGGGAACGGCAUCCGGAACUGUCAAGCUAGAGUGCAGGAGAGGAAGGUAGAAUUCCCGGUGUAGCGGUGAACUGCGUAGAGAUCGGGAGGAAUACCAGUGGCGAAGGCGGCCUUCUGGACUGACACUGACACUGAGGUGCGAAAGCGUGGGUAGCAAACAGGAUUAGAUACCCCUGUAGUC